rnacentral:RNase_P_RNA from 1 species
AGAGCCGGAUACGUGGCCGCCCGCUUUCCUGAUUAUUUUCGAAUCCGGGGGGGCUGGAGGAAAGUCCGGGCAACAUAGGGCAAGGGUGCUGGCUAACGGCCAGGCGGCGCGAGCCGAUGGAAAGUGCAACAGAAAACAUACCGCCGAUGGUUUCUCCGGAAACACAGGUAAGGGUGAAAUGGCAGGGUAAGAGCCUACCGCAGUCUUGGUGACAAGACUGGCAGUGUAAACCCCACCCGUUGCAAGUCCAAAUAGAACCGCUAUCAGGUGGCCCGCCUGGCGGUCGGGUAGGACGCUAGAGGCGGCCGGUAACGGCAAUCCUAGAUAAAUGGUCACGACUCACAUCUGUGAGAACAGAACCCGGCUUAUUUCCGGCUCUGACU